GGAUGUGAGGGUGAUCUGGCUGUGACAUCUGUUGCCACAUUGAUCGCCAGGGUUGAUUUGGCUGAUCUGGCUGGUUGGACGGGCGUCCUCUUCCUCCCUCACCACUCCAUGAGGGAGCAUCCCACCCGAAGCUGUGCACUUGGUCAGAGAGGAUGACCAGCCCCACUAAGACCUGUCUUGGGUCAAGGGUAUGCGAGUAGCUGCGCUCCCCUGCUAGAAGCUCCAUCAAGCUCCCAAGGAAGAGGCUUCCCUCCUCAUGAGAGUUGAUGCUGGGCACAAGUGCUAGCUUUCUGACAGUGUCCUGACCCACAUGAGGAGCAAAAGGGUGGAACUAG
rnacentral:snRNA from 1 species